UUAAUUAGCAUAGUAAUUAAUGAGUCCUUAAUCAAUUGUCCAUAAUCUUUUUAUAACACACUUGACCAAGGCAAAAAAAACUAAAGAGACGUUGGAAAUUUUCACCUUUCAAUUCAAUACACACAAUAAAAACAAAAGUGAAACACAAAUUCAUUCAUGAACAAAUGUGGAUAAAUAAUAUCCCUUCAUUAAAAAUACAAACAAGAGAGAAAAUUAUACUCGUCAAGGAUAUGUUCGAGUACGAGUGUUUGUAACAGUAGCGUUUAUUACAUUUGACAAUCAUAUGAAAAAGGAUACGGUGUGUUUGAGUUUCAAACAAUAUAUUUUCAAAUGAUGUGGUGUAUUAUUUGAGCUUCAAACACUGCAUUUGUGAGUUAAAUAAAAUGCGCUUAGAAUAUUUGUGUUUGAUUGCAUCUUAACAGUUUAUAUCUUAAUACAUCUUAACAACCCACAUCUUUAUAUUAAGAGAUACUCUGAAUAGUUUAGACUCAUAUUUGUAUCUUAACUAUUUAAAGAAUCUCUUAAUACAAAGAUGUGAGCUGUUUAGAUAUAUUAAGAGGUUGACUAUUAAGAUACAAUUAAACACUUAAGUUGCAUGUAGACGAACAAGAUCCUCAAUUGCCUAUAAAAUUUAAGAUUCACAAAAAAGAAAUACGAGAAUUAGCAGGAAAAUAAGAAACUGGAAUCGGAGCUCCUCUAGUCGAAUUUGAUUUGCUUUUCUGUUUAGAAGAUGAAUUUGAAGGCUCCUCCUCCUUAACCUUUGUUUUGUCGGAUACUCGUGCCGAUGAAGAUUGCAUAAAGCAACUAAAUAUGGCUGAUAAGAACAAAACCAUUGUUAAUAUAUUGUUCUGAUUAAGCUAAUUAAGCUAGUGAAAGAUGAUGAUAAGCUGAAUUAAGGAGAAAUUAAAUUGAAUAGCUAAUAAAUGGUGUAGGAGUAAAGAUGAAUUAUAUUUAUAGGAUAGUCUGGAUGGAAGAAUUUUUCAGCAGCUUGCUCAGGAAGGUAAACAAGUUAAUUAAUUAUAAG
rnacentral:lncRNA from 1 species